rnacentral:miRNA from 1 species
CUUCCGGCCGACGAGGUACCUGUACCUCGCCGGCUGGAAGGAUUUCCUUCCAGUCAACGAGGUACAUGUACCUCGUCGACCGGAAGGGGUUUCUUCCGGCCGACGAGGUACAUGUACCUCGUCGACCGGAAG